UACAGAGGGGGCAAGCGUUGUUCGGAUUUACUGGGCGUAAAGGGCGCGUAGGCGGCCACCGCAAGUCGACUGUGAAAUCUCCGGGCUUAACCCGGAAAGGUCAGCCGAUACUGCGGGGCUAGAGUGCAGAAGGGGCAACUGGAAUUCUCGGUGUAGCGGUGAAAUGCGUAGCUAUCGAGAGGAACACCUGCGGCGAAGGCGGGUUGCUGGGCUGACACUGACGCUGAGGCGCGAAAGCUAGGGGAGCGAACGGG
rnacentral:rRNA from 1 species